rnacentral:rRNA from 1 species
UUCAUCCUACGGGAGGCAGCAGUGAGGAAUAUUGGUCAAUGGGCUAAGGCCUGAACCAGCCAAGUCGCGUGAGGGAAGACGGUCCUAUGGAUUGUAAACCUCUUUUGUCGGGGAGCAACGAGGCCACGUGUGGCCGAAGUGAGAGUACCCGAAGAAAAAGCAUCGGCUAACUCCGUGCCAGCAGCCGCGGUAAUACGGAGGAUGCGAGCGUUAUCCGGAUUUAUUGGGUUUAAAGGGUGCGUAGGCGGUCCGUUAAGUCAGCGGUAAAAUUGCGGGGCUCAACCCUGUCGAGCCGUUGAAACUGG